rnacentral:rRNA from 1 species
GAUGAACGCUGGCGGCGUGCUUAACACAUGCAAGUCGAACGGGAAACCUUUUAAUGAAGCUUCGGCAGAUUUAGCUGGUUUCUAGUGGCGGACGGGUGAGUAACGCGUGGGUAACCUGCCUUAUACAGGGGGAUAACAGUCAGAAAUGACUGCUAAUACCGCAUAAGCGCACAGGACCGCAUGGUCGGGUGGGAAAAACUCCGGUGGUAUAAGAUGGACCCGCGUUGGAUUAGCUUGUUGGUGGGGUAACGGCUCACCAAGGCGACGAUCCAUAGCCGGCCUGAGAGGGUGAACGGCCACAUUGGGACUGAGACACGGCCCAGACUCCUACGGGAGGCAGCAGUGGGGAAUAUUGCACAAUGGGGGAAACCCUGAUGCAGCGACGCCGCGUGAAGGAAGAAGUAUCUCGGUAUGUAAACUUCUAUCAGCAGGGAAGAUAGUGACGGUACCUGACUAAGAAGCCCCGGCUAACUACGUG